GUAGGGUGGGCAAGCGUUGUCCGGAAUUAUUGGGGCGUAAAGCGCGCGCAGGGCGGUCCUUUAAGUCUGAUGUGAAAGCCCACGGCUCAACCGUGGAGGGUCAUUGGAAACUGGGGGACUUGAGUACAGAAGAGGAAAGCGGAAUUCCAAGUGUAGCGGUGAAAUGCGUAGAGAUUUGGAGGAACACCAGUGGCGAAGGCGGCUUUCUGGUCUGUAACUGACGCUGAGGCGCGAAAGCGUGGGGAGCAAACAGGAUUAGAUACCCUGGUAGUCCACGCCGUAAACGAUGAGUGCUAAGUGUUAGGGGGUUUCCGCCCCUUAGUGCUGCAGCUAACGCAUUAAGCACUCCGCCUGGGGAGUACGGCCGCAAGGCUG
rnacentral:rRNA from 1 species